GCGAAUAACAAUUUUUAUUUGUCCUGCUAUUUCUCCAGUUAGGGAAGUAAGUAGAAAGUAACAUUAUAGUUGAAAUCAAAUAUCAAUAUAGUAUCAUUUCUUUGCCACACAAUUAUCUUCUAAUAUAGUAAAUAUUAUUAAUGCCAUAGAUAACCAAGAGUCUAGGCUUCUGCAAAAUGUUAAUUGUAUUACAGAAAGAGAAAGAAAAAUGGGGACUCAAGUGGGAAUCUUUUUAUAAUAUUGCCCAAUGAUUUCUCAUUUGGGAAAAUAUGAGCGUUGUGAUAAGAAAAUGGAUGGCGAAAAACCUAAGUUGAAAAGUAGACAGGCAUGGUGCUGAAGCAGUAGCUGAAGCUUUACCCCUACGUUCCCUGGCUACGGCUAUGCCACAGUACAACUAGUAACGUUUAGAAAAAUACUAAACAACAGAUUUUUGCCAUCCAUUCUCUUAGCACAUGUUUUUUACUAUCCUUCUCCUCACAUUCAGAGAAUCUUUAUUUCCUCCCACGGAGUUGUUGUUGUUGUUGCUGCUGCUGCAGCUGCUGGUUCUGAUGCUGCUGCUGUUGUCAUUGUUUACAGUUGCUUUUUUUUUACCCUCUUGAACAGUAAGAUCCACAUCAAGUUCAUUCAACAUCAUUAUGCUGGCGGACUUGCCUCUCAUGAGUAUUCUUUACCCUGAUCUAUUCCAGAAAAUAUCUAAGUUAAUAGUAGAUCAUACUUUCUUGAUAGUCUCCUACUCAGUCAGCUCUGUCUUGGUAGUACAUACAAAUAACCCUUGUCAUCCAUCGAGAUUUGUCACGUCCAUUGUGAUGUCAAAUACACCCCUCAUUUAAUCUUCACAAAAUCUCCUGAAGGAGAUAUUAUUUCACUUCCAUUGUAUAGAAGCUUUCUGCUUUUGAUUUUAAAAGGAAUGGAGGAGAGGGAAGAUAUUUAGGAACACCUGUCUGGAUAAGAACAGGGCUAUGGACCAACUAUCUUUAGCUCCAAAGACAGGUCUCCUAAGCCCUAUGUAGUCUAUACUUUCCAUGCCUCUUUAUUAUGGUUGAUGAAUCAGUUUUCUUAGUUCUAUUUCUUUUCUCCUUAGACUCUAUCCAAAUAUGUCUAGAAUGUUGGGAAGGCUCCCCUACGUUAACAUCUUCAAGAUCUGAAAAUGACUUCAGUUGGAAAACAUUGCUCUUUAUGUCUUUAAACAAGCAAGAAUUUGAUAUAUGAUACAUUCGCUCAGUUACUAAAUUCAGAGAGUAGUAUGUGAUGAAACUCCAAAAACACUCUGUAAUUCGUGUCAAGGCAUCUUGGGCUGGGGCUGAGUUUGCAGACAACUUAAGAUAUUUAUAAAUGUUAUUUGUCGGAAAACACUGCCCUCAGCAAGGUAUAAAAUGUUACCAGUGUUUCCAAUUCUUAGAAGGACUGUCUCCAUCAGAGCUGAAAUGCCAUACUUGACAUAGUACAAAGUGGUAACAGCUUGGAGUCUGAGGAGAACUAGGUACAAUUAUAUCUAAGAUUUUUCUUCCAAUACUGGCCAAAAGAAGAGUGCCAUGUAAGGAUGAAAGCAUCUCUCUCUCUCUCUCUCUCUCUCUCUCUCUCUCUCUCUCUCUCUCUCUCUCACACACACACACACACACACACACACACACACACACACAUACACACACACCACAUACUACUCACCCCAGAAAGAGACCCUACACCAAGCAAAAGUAGCAAGUCAUGGUGGUAGGAGGCCUAUGGCUGGAGCUCCUGAUGGCCAGGGUAUGGCAAGUAUCAUUGUUAUCCUGAAUGUUCUUCAUAAAACAAAUAGAAUGAAAGGUCAUGACACAAAUGUAGCCAUGCCACAGUCUUUGGGUGCCACCUUGAACCCAUUUCUCCUAUUUUCCACAUACCACUCUUUGAAUCCUAUCUGGUCUCUUCCUGGAAUGUCUCUUGGAUCUACUGCUCCGGUCCAGGCCCACCACCCUCAUCAUAAUCCCGAUCACAGUCUCUUUCACCUGGAUUACCAAACCCUCUCAAGUUUCUCCACCUCUAGACUCGCUGCUCCCAGUCCUCUCUCCACUCUGUAGCUGGAAGUAUCUUCCUAGAAGUUCCUAUUUCAAUAUAACCAGGACAUAUUCAACAGUUCUACUUACUGUUCAGUGGUUCCCAUAGCAUUUAAGUUAAAGAUGAGUUUUCUUCACCUGCUGUCAGACAGAAACCUUUCCAAUCUUCUAUCAACAUCUAACUUCACCUUUUCAAAAUAACUUAAGGGUAGGGAAUAGGCACAUAGGACUUCAUUUCUUAGUGCUGAAUUACAGGCUACUGAUGGACUCUGGGAGAGGAGGAAGCCAUCACUGUCUCCAGUUGUGUAUCUGCUAAAGAUUAGCUGGGAAGAGGGGACAUAUACAUAGGAGAGAAGCAGAUGAGAGAAAGUAGAGGUAAGGUCAAUCAGAGUGCAUUGCAUACAUGCAUAAAAUUGUCAAAAUAACAAACUUAAUUUUGAAAAAUGUUUUUUUAAAGUCUGUUACUUCAAAUUGGGGUGCUGCUUUUAGUCACGUGGCCUUUGGAAACCCCCACUGGUGCCUCUUCCUGUCCUCUCCAUGUCCUUCACUCAGUCCGAGUCUGGCAUGGGUGUGAUUACUUUUCCUCCUGAAGAAAGAUUAUUUCAAGUGGAAUAUGCCAUUGAGGCUAUCAAACUUGACUCUAUGGCCAUUGGCAUCCAGACAUCCGAGGGUGCGUGUCUAGCUGUGGAGAAGAGAAUUACCUCUCCGCUAAUGGAGCCUAACAGCAUUGAGAAAAUUGUGGAGAUUGAUGCUCAUAUAGGUUGUGCCAUGAAUGGGAUAGUUGCUGAUGCUAAAACUUUAACUGAUAAAGCCAGAGUGGAGACACAGAACCACGGGUUCACCUAUAAUGAGACAAUGACAGUUGAGAGUGUGACCCAGGCUGUGUCCAAGCUGGCUUUGAAGUUUGGAGAAGAAGAUGCAGAUCCAGGUGCCAUGUCUCGUCCCUUUGGAGUUGCAUUGUUGUUUGGAGGAGCUAAUGAGAAAGGACCCCAACUGUUUCACGUGGUCCCAUCUGAGACCUUUUGUAUAGUAUGAUGCUCAAGGGAUUGGCUCUGCAUCAGAGGGUGCCCAGAGCUCCUUGCAAGAAGUCUAUGACUCUGAAGGAGGCCAUCAAGUCUUCACGCAUCGUCAUCCUCAAGCAAGUCGUGAAGGAGAAGCCGAACACAACUAGCAUCAUCUAGCUAGCCACGGUGCAGCCUGCUCAGGGUUUCCCCGUGUUCACAAAGGGAGGACUGGAGGUGAUCAAGGACAUUUAAGGAGAAACCAUCUUUGGACUUCUGUGGGACAGUUUCGGUUCUAAUGGCCCUUAGACUUUAUUUCCAGCUCUUAUGUUGUGGAAAAUAUGCUGUACAUGUGUUUAUGGUGUCUGUACAUAACACCAAUUCUGAAAUAAAAAGACUUUAAAAAAUAAAAUAAAAAAGAGACUGUGACUUCUAUAGUCCCCUCUCUCUCCCACCCUCUCACCUGCCGGUCACAAGGAUCUCCUUUUAGAUUAAUGAAUAUGCCCUGCUGUCUGUCAACACAAGGUCACCCCUAAAGUAAACACUUCAUUCCAUUUUUUCCACUCAUGUUUUGCUUUUCCGUUGUAUCAAUCUCACAAUUAAGGAAACUUCCUCAAAUCCCUAACCCAGAGUUGAAUGUUUUUCCCUGUGUGUUUCCAUGGUAACCCACACUUCCUAUGGCACCACAACCAAUAUGACUGACUAUUCAUUCACCCUCUGUUCUUCUGCUAUAGGCUGUGUUCUGUAAAAUUCCGGCUUAUUUGAACUGUAGACUUAUAUCUGCUUUCUAUGAUAGACAAGGUCCUAAAUAGCUAUUGCACCGAGACAGAAAUCUUUUCAAUCUUGUAUCAGCAUCUAACCUUACUUUCUCAAAAUAACUCCCUGCUUCUCAUUAUCUUUCCGAAGGUGAGUGUUUUCAAUAGGAAUAUUUAACAUGGUCACUGUGAAAUUUCCCCACCACAGCUAAAGGAGAGCAGGGAGGAAACACGUUUGCUCUACUCUCAUGCUUCUUCCCAGAGCUUCC
rnacentral:lncRNA from 1 species